GGCCUAACCUUAGGGAAGGAUGCUCCGAGGGUGUGGUUAGCGUUGGGGUGAAGUCGUAACAAGGUAUCCGUACGGGAACGUGCGGAUGGAUCACCUCCUUU
rnacentral:rRNA from 1 species